UACGUAGGUGGCAAGCGUUGUCCGGAUUUACUGGGCGUAAAGCGUGCGCAGGCGGUUUUUGUAAGCCAGAUGUGAAAGCCCCGGGCUUAACCUGGGAAUGGCAUUUGGGACUGAAUAGCUAGGGUACGGUAGAGGGAAGCGGAAUUUCCGGUGUAGCGGUGAAAUGCGUAGAUAUCGGAAGGAACAUCAGUGGCGAAAGCGGCUUCCUGGACCAGUACCGACGUCAGGCACGAAAGCGUGGGGAGCAAACAGGA
rnacentral:rRNA from 1 species